rnacentral:rRNA from 1 species
GAUGAACGCUGGCGGCGUGCCUAACACAUGCAAGUCGAGCGAUCUUCUUCGGAAGAGAGCGGCGGACGGGUGAGUAACGCGUGGGUAACCUGCCUCAUACACAUGGAUAACAUACCGAAAGGUAUGCUAAUACAGGAUGAUAUAAGAGAUUCGCAUGGAUUUCUUAUCAAAGCUCCGGCGGUAUGAGAUGGACCCGCGUCUGAUUAGCUAGUUGGUAAGGUAACGGCUUACCAAGGCGACGAUCAGUAGCCGACCUGAGAGGGUGGUCGGCCACAUUGGAACGGAGACACGGUCCAAACUCCUACGGGAGGCAGCAGUGGGGAAUAUUGCACAAUGGGCGAAAGCCUGAUGCAGCAACGCCGCGUGAGCGAUGAAGGCCUUCGGGUCGUAGAGCUCUGUCCUCAAGGAAGAUAAUGACGGUACUUGAGGAGGAAGCCCCGGCUAACUACGUGCCAGCCGCCGCGGUAA